AUGGGUUUAAGUCGUUUUAACACUCAAAAUAUAUGUGAUUUCAAGUAACAUUAAAUUUAUUUCAGCCGGAUGACCUUGAAUUCUAAUAAAACUAUAGGUGGUAUUGAAAUAUAUGCUUAAUAUUAAAUAAAAUAGAUAAAUUUAACAUGUUUAACCCAUUCAGUAUACGCAUGCUCAGUAAAAAUAACUUUUUGAAUAGAAACGUUUAUUUUUGACUCUAGAUUCAUGUAGUCUUAAUUUUUCAAGCAGCAUUAUCAAUAUCAAUACAAUUUCUCGAAAAGUGAAACUACAAUAUAAUGUACAAACGAAUGAUACAGGACGGGUGUACCACUUCUG